GGAAUCUUCGGCAAUGGACGAAAGUCUGACCGAGCAACGCCGCGUGAGCGAAGAAGGCCUUCGGGUCGUAAAGCUCUGUUGUUAGAGAAGAACAUGGGUGAGAGUAACUGUUCACCCCUUGACGGUAUCUAACCAGAAAGCCACGGCUAACUACGUGCCAGCAGCCGCGGUAAUACGUAGGUGGCAAGCGUUGUCCGGAAUUAUUGGGCGUAAAGCGCGCGCAGGCGGUCUCUUAAGUCUGAUGUGAAAGCCCCCGGCUCAACCGGGGAGGGUCAUUGGAAACUGGGAGACUUGAGGACAGAAGAGGAGAGUGGAAUUCCAAGUGUAGCGGUGAAAUGCGUAGAUAUUUGGAGGAACACCAGUGGCGAAGGCGGCUCUCUGGUCUGUUACUGACGCUGAGGCGCGAAAGCGUGGGGAGCAAACAGGAUUAGAUACCCUGG
rnacentral:rRNA from 1 species